rnacentral:rRNA from 1 species
AACGAACGCUGGCGGCAUGCCUAACACAUGCGAGUCGAACGAGACCUUCGGGUCUAGUGGCGCACGGGUGCGUAACGCGUGGGAACCUGCCCUUAGGUUCGGAAUAACUCCCCGAAAGGGGUGCUAAUACCGGAUAAUGCCUUCGGACCAAAGAUUUAUCGCCUUUGGAUGGGCCCGCGUUGGAUUAGCUAGUUGGUAGGGUAAAAGCCUACCAAGGCGACGAUCCAUAGCUGGUCUGAGAGGAUGAUCAGCCACACUGGGACUGAGACACGGCCCAGACUCCUACGGGAGGCAGCAGUGGGGAAUAUUGGACAAUGGGCGAAAGCCUGAUCCAGCAAUGCCGCGUGAGUGAUGAAGGCCUUAGGGUUGUAAAGCUCUUUCACCCGGGAUGAUAAUGACAGUACCGGGAGAAUAAGCUCCGGCUAACUCCGUG